GGGAAAGAAGUCUGACAGAUGGACAGACAUGUUUCCUAGCAGAAGACACAUCUGGAACAUGCAGCACAGUUUGGAAAGACUGAAUAAAGCUUGAGACAUUGAUUGCCAAGGCUGGCCACUGUAGGGACACCUGCAGAUGUCUGCUUUCAAUGUGAUUUUGACCUGGACCCUGGCUUGAGGUAAAGAAGCACUGCUGUCUGAGUCUUCUGCUGAGUGUUACCAUCAUGUUGGCAGCGUGACUGCAACCUGCCUGCAGGAAGCAAUGGCAGCUACAUGGAAUAUCCUUCAUUCUAUUAGCUGGCCUACUGUGACAGUAAGAAUUUUCAUACUGAUGAAAUAUGACCUUCUACCGACCAUCAGUUCUGGAUAUGGAGACAAUUUGGAAUGGAGAUACCAUUUACUCACCUGAAACAACAGUGGCAGAAGUGGUAGUGUCUGCAUGGAUCACCUUUGGCAAAAUGGCCUCAGUAACAACAGCUGGUAAGAUAAAAGCGAGAAUAUAAACAGCGAAUGGGAAUGGAGAACCCAAAGCUGGAUCAAAAUACAAUUGUCCCAAAUGGCUGUUUAAGAGAGGAAGACAAGAAUCAGCUAGAUUCAUAACCAGGU
rnacentral:lncRNA from 1 species